UGCCAGCCGCCGCGGUAAGACGGAGGGUGCAAACGUUGUUCGGAAUCACUGGGCAUAAAGCGCACGUAGGCGGCCAAGUCAGUCUGGUGUGAAAGCCCCCGGCUCAACCGGGGAACUGCAUCGGAUACUGCUUGGCUCGAGGACGGUUGGGGUGAGUGGAACUCCUGGUGGAGCGGCGAAAUGCGUAGAUAUCAGGAGGAACACCAGUGGCGAAAGCGGCUCACUGGACCGUCUCUGACGCUGAGGUGCGAAAGCUAGGGUAGCGAACGGGAUUAGAUA
rnacentral:rRNA from 1 species